CCCGGCCUCUCCCGCGCGUGCGGAUCAUUUCCGUAGGUGAACCUGCGGAAGGAUCAUUACCGAGUGUAGGGUUCCUAGCGAGCCCAACCUCCCACCCGUGUUUACUGUACCUUAGUUGCUUCGGCGGGCCCGCCAUUCAUGGCCGCCGGGGGCUCUCAGCCCCGGGCCCGCGCCCGCCGGAGACACCACGAACUCUGUCUGAUCUAGUGAAGUCUGAGUUGAUUGUAUCGCAAUCAGUUAAAACUUUCAACAAUGGAUCUCUUGGUUCCGGCAUCGAUGAAGAACGCAGCGAAAUGCGAUAACUAGUGUGAAUUGCAGAAUUCCGUGAAUCAUCGAGUCUUUGAACGCACAUUGCGCCCCCUGGUAUUCCGGGGGGCAUGCCUGUCCGAGCGUCAUUGCUGCCCAUCAAGCACGGCUUGUGUGUUGGGUCGUCGUCCCCUCUCCGGGGGGGACGGGCCCCAAAGGCAGCGGCGGCACCGCGUCCGAUCCUCGAGCGUAUGGGGCUUUGUCACCCGCUCUGUAGGCCCGGCCGGCGCUUGCCGAACGCAAAUCAAUCUUUUUCCAGGUUGACCUCGGAUCAGGUAGGGAUACCCGCUGAACUUAAGCAUAUCAAUAAGCGGAGGACUCUGUAGGCC
rnacentral:rRNA from 1 species